rnacentral:rRNA from 1 species
GGCUCAGGAUGAACGCUAGCUACAGGCUUAACACAUGCAAGUCGAGGGGGAAAACGACAUCGAAAGCUUGCUUUUGAUGGGCGUCGACCGGCGCACGGGUGAGUAACGCGUAUCCAACCUGCCCAUCACUUGGGGAUAACCUUGCGAAAGUAAGACUAAUACCCAAUGACGUCUCUAGAAGACAUCUGAAAGAGAUUUAAAGAUUUAUCGGUGAUGGAUGGGGAUGCGUCUGAUUAGCUUGUUGGCGGGGUAACGGCCCACCAAGGCGACGAUCAGUAGGGGUUCUGAGAGGAAGGUCCCCCACAUUGGAACUGAGACACGGUCCAAACUCCUACGGGAGGCAGCAGUGAGGAAUAUUGGUCAAUGGGCGAGAGCCUGAACCAGCCAAGUAGCGUGCAGGAUGACGGCCCUAUGGGUUGUAAACUGCUUUUAUAAGGGAAUAAAGUGAGCCUCGUGAGGCUUUUUGCAUGUACCUUAUGAAUAAGGACCGGCUAAUUCCGUG